CCUGUCUUCUUGCUCCUAAUUUGUCACAUAACAUCGUCCAGGACUGGGCUCUUAUGUCUACAGGUCACGUGAAUUUCCUUGUCAGAAUUUCCUGUCAGUUGUGCUUGGAUCCUGGAAAUUACUUCAAUUUACAUCCUGUUCUCAGAAAAGAGAUUACCCAGAACUUUUAAAACUCGGAUUCAUACAAUUACGGUGAUAGGCAACUGCGGCUAUUGAAUGGCAGACAAGGUGCUUUUCUCCUGUGUCAGCUGCAUGAGAGGAGCUCAGAGCUCUACAGUCUGUACGUUGUUGUGAAGUAUGUAUGGAGUUUGCCUCUAGUUCGAUGCAUGAAGAUGAAUGUAAACAAAGAUUGAGAUCUGACUGUGCCUGGGAGCGGAUUUUAUCUUUAUAGGAUAGAAAAUCAGUAAAACCUUAUCAGUGAGCAGCUAACUAAUCCUUGCUUCGAGGGAGGCAACUGGAAAUGGGUGGUUGUGCUUCGUAGGUAUUUUAAGGCACAUAUCGCACUGUUGUGUACUGUGAGAAUGAAUACAAGGCUUAUGUCAUUGUGAAAAAAGACUUAAAAACACUCAUCCAAAACCAGCUUCUGUCAGUCAGUGGUGUUCGGAGCAGGCACCCGGCUGCCUGCAGUGCUGCCGGCCAUACCAAUCAGCUGGCAGGGUGAGAUAGGAUCUUCUCCCGUUCUAGAACUGAAAGGAAAGGUGAUGUGUAGUGCACUGAGCACAUCUGGUUGGUCAGCGUGAAGGAUGCAAAGCUGUAUGUGUCUAAAUGUGAAAAGUUCUGGUCUCCGUGUUCAGUUUGUUAACAGGGAGUCAAACUCUAGACGUCUGUUUGAGUUAAUUGGUGGUACUUGGAUCAAAGGCUUGUUUUUUACUUUAUAGGAUAUUUGAAGUUACAUAAUCUGUACAGCAAGCUACCCUCUGGUGAAGAAAGACAUCAGUCAUUUGUAUCUCUUGAAUUUUUCCUGGUCAUAGUAUAAACGCAGCAAAAAUUAGUAUCAAGCUAUGUUCAAUGUUUUCUCAGGCAAAUAAUAUUGCUAAUGACUUCUUCAGUGAACGUACUGAUUAAGCAAAUAGCCAUAGGGAAGUCUCAAAAUGAAUUCUGUGGUUCUGUGCCUUUAUGUAUGUUGAGUCCAAAUGUCUUGGAAACAUUGUCUUUUCUUAUAAUUAUGCUAUUUUAGGGGCAUAUUGUUCAAAUAUGUGUUCUGUAUUCACAAACACGGGGAUGUUCUUGCUUCAAGGAGUUGUGCUGAGAAAAUGAAGAAAGCAUUAAUUUGAAUGCUGGCAGAUCCAGUUUGAGUCUUGUGGAUCCAGCAGAGCAGUGAGCACUGCCAAGGUCACAGGGGUAGAGACUUGGCUGGGGAAAAUGGUGUCUGCUUCUGUUAUCCAUGGAUUUUCCUUGCGUUGAAUGCCCUUGGGGAACUGGUCGGCUCUAAGCAAGUGUGCAGCACUGGGUGCUUCACUCACAUCUGCUAUUUGUAACUCUAUGGGAUCUUCAGUAUUCCUUCAGAAUUGUUUCUAGCCUUUCCCCGCUAAGAUUUCUUUUUUUUUAGUUCACUUGUAUUUACAAGUAUUAAGCACAAUGUAGGUGCUAAGAAAUUAAAUUGACAUCAUGUUUCAAAAAGUAUUGAUAUUCUCAAGGGUAUUUAGUAAUCUCUAACAGGAUUCUUGUUUCCUGAUCUGCUACAAACAGAUGUUUCUGUCCUUUUGUGGUGGGGGAGGGUAAAUUCAGUAACAUGGUAGCAGUGGGAAGCACUGCGGUAGGAAUUCACCUUCCUAUGAGAGAACUGCUUUUACCCUGUUGGCCUGGGUAAUUUGCUAUAAUGUGUUUUCUUAGUUAGGUUUCCAUAGCAGAAGAGCAAUAAUGGAACUUGGUGCUACUCUGUUAGUCCUGUUGUCCCUCUCGCCUAACUAAAUAUACUAAAUGCUGACUUGCUAAAAAUAGAAAUUAUGCAAAAGUAGGCAGCUUCAUUGAUUUGUAGCUUCCUUGUGUUCCUCUCCAUUACCUUCUGCAUUGAAGAUCUUUCUUGGAGGCUUCCUUGCAAAAUACUUCCCUUUACCCCUGCUCAACCAGGCAGUAAUUAGUUUUCAGCUCACAGUCCUGUGGGACUGCAUGGCCUGUUCUUGCCUGGUUUGAAUGGGGUCCAGUAGCAGCGUCUUUCCCUCUGCCCUACUAGGUCAGCAGUCUUUUAAGAAAUGGUCCAAUUUCUUUACUCGCACUGAGUGGAAAUGAGUGUGCUCUACCACUCUGGAGAAGAUCUGAUUGUCCAAAUUGAACUUAAAUCCUUACAUGUUUUUAAGUGCAUUUUCCACGUGAAUGUAUAUUUUUCAUAAUGGGUAUUUGCACAGUGGGAUAACAGCAGCCACAGUGGGAACUAAUAUGGAAUUACUAUACUUCAGAUUAAUACUUGAUUUGGUCUUCUAGCAGGCUUUCUUUAGAAAUGAAUCUGUAGAGCAGGACUUGCAAUGGAUAGAUUCUCCUUGGCAAAAUUGAAGUAAGUGUGGAAACAUGAUUGUCUUCAGUCAUGCUGUGUAGGGUUAAGUUGUCUGUAGCAGAACAUAACAGUUCAAAUUACUGAGACUGCAGAACUCAAGGAGAAGUAACUCUAAAAAGGUGGUACUUGACUGCGUUAUCAAACAAUUAGUCAUGUGUAAUUAAUACGGGAUCAGAACAGCACCUGGGGCUAAGCAUGCCAAGUUAUUGUUUAUCUGAACAAUUUCCAAGGCUUGUAAUAAAUCUGUAAUUCAUGUUCACUUUUGAUGGCUGGCUCCCCCACAAUUCUAUCUGGGAGAAGGCCAGGUCGUGUUAACUCUUUUGGCACGGGAUGCUUCUUGAAAAAAUGGGUCUCACUUGACCCAGCAUUGUUCCUGUGUGUCACUUGGAACAACGUUGUUCUGUGUAACACCAUGUAAGGUAGUUUUCCUGGUGAAGCCUGUGAAUCUGAAUUCCUUGAAAUUGUAUUUCUAGUGGGUAUUAAGAUCUUGAAGCCAAGCGUGGAGGCAUGGCUUUCUGACAAAAGAAUUUGUGUUUCCUUGAGAACUGAGAUUGAGUUGUGGAAGGUGAUUGGCCAUCCUCUGCAGGAUAAGCCCCUCUGUGAAUAACAGGGUUACGAUGGAGAGGAAAUUCCUGGAGGGUUAUCUCAUGAGAGAAUUAAGUGGGCUUCAUUUUGUUUGUUUUGUUUGACUCCUUUGAAUGAUGUGGAGUGGAUUAAUGCUCCCCAAACAGGGAGUAUUUAGCUAAAGGAAAUGGGAAAGGUUCGCUGUUUAUAAACAGCAUAGCAGUGACUGGAACCUAGAGUACGUUCUAUCAGAAGUGGAUGAGAUGCUGUAGAUGCAGUCUGUAGUACGGCUGUGUACGUUUCCUAGUUGUGCUAUUGUAGUUGUGUUGGGGGAGGUUAGAGGGUAGAUGUCCCCUAGAGCUGCUAAGGAAACAGCUGAGGUUCAGUUAGGGGAUCUACCUGUGAAAGCACCUUGUCAGUACGUAACUGAAAAUUUCAUUUGUUGUACACAACUUGCACCCACUGACUGUCCAGUUCUGUUUCUUAUGUGGUGAGGCUGAAAAAUAAGUAUUGCUUAAUUGGAGCAUGAAAUAUCGUCUUGUUGGGGGGGCAAUAGAAAGUUCUUGACUUUAUAUCUGAAUUCUGUUUAUCAGAGUUUUGUUUACACUAUGGUCAGCAGCAGAUCUUUGGUUGUCUGGAAGGAUGAUAUUUGCAGUGUCACCUUGUGGGGUCCAUAACCAAGGAGCCGUGUUAUUUCUAAGUUCUGCCUACCACCGGCUUCUUCCAAUACAGUCACUUGGCUGAGCAUUGCCUUUGCCAUUCGGUAUUUCAUAGACCUCACUGAAACAAAACGGAUUUUCACUCCUUUUUUGCCUCUGCCUUCCCCAGCAGUGAGAAUCUUAGCACAAAAGCUGAGGUGUCUGGACUCUCCAAGUGACUGCUGUGAAACCUAGUGUUCCAUGACUAAGGCUUACUCACAGAGUUGUCUCAUCAGGACUUACUGAAUAGCUGUAUUUGAAGAUUGCAAUUAAAAAUGAAGAUGAUGCAAUCAGACCCAGCCUCUGAAAGAACCAUCAUAGGAACUUAGGUGUGCUGCUGAAAUUGCAGCUGUAUGUUUUUAUGUAUCUGUAAUGCUCGCUCAUCUGCUUGUUGCUGCUUUCUGUAAUGGAGCUGAAGGCAACGAAUGGGGAGAAGGAAGAAAAUCAUAAUAAAUUUGAAUUUUAAGGCAAACAAGGAAUAGUUUGAAGGACAAAGUUCUACAAAAUUCUAGCUUGUAAGACUCCAGUGCAAACUGGACACACUUCAGAACCUGCUCCAGGCACUUAAAAUGAAAAGUGUGCAAAAGUUCAGGUGGGAAAUAAUCCCUGACAUUGGCCUGCUGAGACUAUGGUUAAAGUCCAGAAAGAGAGAAUAAAACAUGUUGGAAUGUGUCUACUGCUUAUCCUUUCUUGUUCUGCGUUUGGAAAUCAUGAGAAUAAUCACAGUUGCUGGUUAGAUGAUCCUCCUCAAUUAUAAUAUUUAUCUGAAAAAUAUUCCCAGGUAGGUAGGGAAGGGCAGUAUCCUAAGUAUGAGGAUGGUUUAGCAAGCUGCUUCCUCUGAAAUUCCUCUCUAUUUAUUUAUUUUUUAAGUAUUGCCUAGACAGCCAACAAAGCAAGUCUAACCCAAAGUCAUUGGUUGUGUUGGUGUAGCUGGUAGUUUAGGUAGGACCUAGAUGGGAUGCAGGUGAAUGAAGGGCUCACCUUUCUGAGAGUGUUCUGUGCUGUUUCAAGGACUGGAGGCCCUGAGCUCAGUGCUCAUAGUUGUGCAUGGGCUGAUAGUUUAAGUUAGUUCAAAAGGUGAUAACAAUUUCUGUAAAAUGUAGAAAAGACACACGCUGGCAUAUGGCAGCUCCUGUUGUCUUUCUCUCCAUGGCUGAAGCAUUAAGUGGGGUGGUCAGAAGUCCUUGUUUUCAGGCUCUACCUUUCCCUUCCAUGUGAGAGGGAGCACCGCUCCAGCAGUGUCCCCCACACCCUGUCUGAUAACAGCCAUGUUUGUAAUGAAGUGUCAGGAAUGUGGCUUUCCUUUGCAUGUAUUUGCUUCCUCAAAUAUCUUUCCUGCCCUCCUGUUUCUGGGGAGGAGCUGAGAUGUGGGUGUUACGUGUUGGGAAGAACUGCAGACAGGAAUGGAAAACGCAUGUGGAUCUCUACUAAAUCCCUUUUCCUUCUACUGCUUUCCAGGUUAAUUCUUCACAUAUGCUAGUCCCAAUGUCUCUACUGCUGUGCUGUUCCCAGGAACCCAUUCUGUAUUCCAGGGUGGUGUUUGCUUAUGUUUGCCAUCCGAGAUACAAGCUGGAGUAAUACAUGCCUUGUUCUGAAUGAAAUCUUGUAGUCCUUGUCUGAUAGCUGCCUGUCAGGAGGAAUUCUGGGGUGAUAGUUGAUGUAGACCAAAGCGUACAUUUCUGUCUUUCAAAAUGAAAGGAAUCUCUUUCCCUUUGAGGUUAUGUAAGUUAGAAUUGAUUCAUCUGAAGUAAAGCGGUGCAAACGUGAAAGGUUUUCUUACUUGUUGCAUUGUCUGCUGUCUGUAAAUGCCUCUUUAUCUCGGGAAGAGUGAACAAUGGUAAGAAGGCACCACUGACAGUCGCUGAGGUCAUUGUUCCUUCAGAAUGGCCAGUGUUCUGGCUCCUGCCUCUUCCCUCCCAGCAUUAUGCGGAUAUCUCCUAAAUGGUUGGCACACCGCUCAUGUGAGCGCUAUCUUUGGCUGUGCAUCCAGCUCCACUGACAUCAGGGUGGGAUUUCUGUGUCACGCUGUGUGUACAUUCUAAUUUGACGUGGAAGCAGAAAGGAAAUGUCUCUUAAACUUCACCUUUAAGUUUUGCAGUGUGCAUUUUGCUAGGCUGAACUUCUAAUUACAUUAAUCCUCUCAUUCACGAUUCUGUUGUAACUUAAAUAGCUAUUGACAAUUAAAAAAAUAAAUGCUUUACAUGAAAGCAGGCAGUCAGGGAAGUCCUGUAUGGGCUUUUUUUUUCCUUUUCUGCAAUCAAAUUGAGAAUUUUUGUGAUACUUUAUAUUUUUCAGUGAUGUUGUUUCCUUCCUUCUCCUGUGUACUUAAAGAGCAUGAAGUCUCCUAGUGGGAACUAGCAGAGAUACGCUUGUUAGUGGAUAACAGCUCUGUGCUGAAGUAAGCAGGCAGUGGUCAUCUGUAUAGCAAAAGGGCUUCACAGGACGGAAUGGAGUAAAUAGUGUGUGGUGAGUUACAAAUGCUGAUGGCUGUUGGGUGAGCUCUGUUGUCAGGUGGGUGUGUGAUGGGAGAGAAACGUGGGUCAAGCAGCGAGUUGGAGCAGCUGGAAUCUACUGCAGUGCUGCUGAGGCUUGUGAGGUAGGCAGGCUGAUGGGAUCCACUGUCCUGUUCCGUUGCCCUCCAUCCCCCCUUUGUUGCUGGAAGACUAGAGCCGCUGGCUGACUUGCUUUGCUGGGAGUAAAAUACUUGGCUUCUGAGUAGCUGGAAGUAAGCAUUUCACUUUUUAUUUAUUUAUUUUUGGUAGAAAAAUACCACUUUCCAAUUCACAGGGAGCCACCAACUUAGCAUGAAUCCAGGUUUUACCUUCUCUACCUUUUAACUCUGAAAUGGGGCCUUCUAUUGAGUAGGUUUAGCUCAUUUUCUGUAUGGGGAAAAGUCAGUUUUCUGUAGGAUGCUCAGCAUUUUGGUCUGUUUUCCUUUAAAAAGGAUGACAAAAAACAGAAGCCACAGAACUCAGUUACUCAAGAGAGCACUGAUGACAGUGUCAGGAGAAAGAAAAAAAAAAAAAAAAAGAAA